UAACAAAUAAACUAUAUUGCGCUAUACAGUAGUCAACAUUUAAAGUGGAUCAAACCUUUCUUCAAUGUUAUUCUAAAACCAAAGCGACAGGCAUUUGUCCUAUCUAAAACUGUUCUGCAAGUUUGAAACCCUUAUAAGACACUGUCCAUAUGAAAGAGCAAGAAAUUCACACCUUUAUCUCGACCCCCACAAACUAUACAGAACUACCCCCCAAAAACCCCAACUCCCUCCAGCUGAACUGAAUUCGUAUGAUGACGUAUUUCAUUGUAAGUUAAUGCUGUUAAAUAGAGAGUAAAAAAAAAAAAAAAAAAACUUAGUGUAGGCUAUUCUUAAACUUGGACCUCAUUAUAUUGAAGUACAAAUCCUAACAUUUCAUAGACCUUCAGUUGUUAUGCUUUAAAAUCCCAUGCCAUUUGUAAUUUCACAGUAUUUUCACCUCCUAAAUUACUACCCCAAUUCUAUAAUGGUAACAUUUAUCAACUUGAAUUUCAAUACUAUUAAACUGACUUUAAAAUCUCAAGGACUUUAUAAGUUGAAACGGUAAAAUGUCACAGUGCAGGUUAACCUAAAUGAACUUGUAUCUUAUAUAGUAUCCGAAGACCUUGCAUAAAGAGUUAGCAUAAAACUUUUUUUAAAUGAAUUCCUGUAUAAAAUGUGACAGCAACCUUUAUAUCAAACAUUUUUAAAUGUUUUAAAGCUGAGCAACGCAAGAGGCAGGUUCUGCUCCAGAGCGCGCGGAGUGAAUGUGAUGCACAAAGUAAUUUUCAGAUGCAAUGAAAAAAAAAAAAACUGGAUAAAAACAUAAACAAAACUUGUAAAUAGUUAACAACAUAGCCUAGAUUAGGUCCAUACUCUAUUCCUAAGUAUAUCAUGUAAUUUUUUUUUUACCCCACAUUAACACAUUUUAACUGAUUAAUCACCUAUUUUAAUUUGCUGCGUUUUUUUUUUUUUUUGUGAGAGGAAAAAAAAAGCUGCAUUUUAUUACAUUCAGAAAUUAUAAUGGCAGGCCAGGAUAUUUUUAGUUCCCCUCACUUUACAACAAAUCCUUUACUUUUAACAAAUUUAUCAGAACAGAACAAUAAUUUAAAAUUUAUAAUUCUAAUGGAUAAAUAUAAUUGCAGUAUAUGAUGCUUAGUUAUAAAAAAAAUAAAAUGAAAUAAUAAUAAUAAUUUAAAGGAAAC
ensembl:lncRNA